rnacentral:rRNA from 1 species
AACGAACGCUGGCGGCAUGCCUAACACAUGCAAGUCGAACGAGACCUUCGGGUCUAGUGGCGCACGGGUGCGUAACGCGUGGGAACCUGCCCUUAGGUUCGGAAUAACUCCCCGAAAGGGGUGCUAAUACCGGAUAAUGUCUUCGGACCAAAGAUUUAUCGCCUUUGGAUGGGCCCGCGUUGGAUUAGCUAGUUGGUAGGGUAAAAGCCUACCAAGGCGACGAUCCAUAGCUGGUCUGAGAGGAUGAUCAGCCACACUGGGACUGAGACACGGCCCAGACUGCGAGGGGAGGGAGUAGUGGAGAAGGGAGGAGAAGGGGAGAAAGAAAGAAGCGGGGAUGCGGGGUGAGUGAUGAGAGCAGUAGGGUGGGAAAUAUCUAUGACCGGGGAAGAUAAGAAGAGGACGGGGAGAAGAAGCUUCGGCAAACGACGGGCGAGGGGGAGCGGUAAAAGAGAAGAGCGCAGGGCAGAAC